GUAACAAGGUUUCCGUAGGUGAACCUGCGGAAGGAUCAUUACCGAGUGCAGGUCUGCCCCCGGGCAGGCCUAACCUCCCACCCGUGAAUACCUGACCAACGUUGCUUCGGCGGUGCGCCCCCCCGGGGGUAGCCGCCGGAGACCACACCGAACCUCCUGUCUUUAGUGUUGUCUGAGCUUGAUAGCAAACCUAUUAAAACUUUCAACAAUGGAUCUCUUGGUUCCGGCAUCGAUGAAGAACGCAGCGAACUGCGAUAAGUAAUGUGAAUUGCAGAAUUCAGUGAAUCAUCGAGUCUUUGAACGCACAUUGCGCCCCCUGGCAUUCCGGGGGGCAUGCCUGUCCGAGCGUCAUUGCUGCCCUUCAAGCCCGGCUUGUGUGUUGGGUCGUCGUCCCCCCCGGGGGACGGGCCCGAAAGGCAGCGGCGGCACCGCGUCCGGUCCUCGAGCGUAUGGGGCUUUGUCACCCGCUCGAUUAGGGCCGGCCGGGCGCCAGCCGGCGUCUCCAACCUUCUAUUUUACCAGGUUGACCUCGGAUCAGGUAGGGAUACCCGCUGAACUUAAGCAUAUCAAUAA
rnacentral:misc_RNA from 1 species